rnacentral:rRNA from 1 species
UACGAAGGGAGCUAGCGUUGUUCGGAAUCACUGGGCGUAAAGCGCACGUAGGCGGACGUGUCAGUCAGGGGUGAAAUCCGGAGCUCAACUUCGGAACUGCCUUUGAUACAGCACGUCUUGAGUCCGGAAGAGGUGGGUGGAAUUCCUAGUGUAGAGGUGAAAUUCGUAGAUAUUAGGAAGAACACCGGUGGCGAAGGCGGCCCACUGGUCCGGUACUGACGCUGAGGUGCGAAAGCGUGGGGAGCAAACAGG